rnacentral:rRNA from 1 species
UACAGAGGUGGCAAGCGUUGUUCGGAAUUACUGGGCGUAAAGGGCGCGUAGGCGGUCUUGCAAGUCCUGUGUGAAAUCCCUCGGCUCAACUGAGGAACUGCACAGGAAACUGCUUGGCUUGAGUGUAGGAGAGGAAAGUGGAAUUCCACGUGUAGCGGUGAAAUGCGUAGAGAUGUGGAGGAACACCAGUGGCGAAGGCGACUUUCUGGCCUAUAACUGACGCUGAGGCGCGAAAGCGUGGGGAGCAAACAGG